UCAAAGCCUGUUAUGCUUUACUGUCACUGAGUGGCUGGCACUCCUCGUACUACAGAUUUCAUGCACAUUAUGAAUUACAUGCAUAUAUAUGUUGGUGUCAUAUGCCUAUCUGUACCACUCUAUUAAUGACUUUGUUUACUCCAUUAACAACUUGUUGAUGAUGAUUGCGCAAAUUACCGAAGCAGUUUUCUAUUAAAGAAGAGGAAAACAGUCAUGCGCUAGUCUGUCGCCAAACGUAUCCUACCUCAAUAAUUAUUGUUUGAGUGCUUUUGACAAGCUGAUCGUGUACACUGCAAAUCCUAGAGUAGAAAUGAAGUCUUUAACCCUGUUAUUAUCGACUCUUCUUAUUUCCCAGGUUACUUCGGCUCCUGAUACAUCUGUUCAAAUACCCUGUGUCCAUUGCGACCUGGCGUGUGUACAACCAAUCAGCGUAAUUUCUUCAGCCGCAACCAAUGCUGUAACGAAUACCCAGUGCGGUUGCCAAGGAUGUGGACCCAUUCAGCCACAGCCGUGCACGGGACCGAUUUUGGAUCCUCUUCCUGGCGGCGUACAAUCGGCCAGUUCGGCCAUCAUCCGACCGUGCCCUUUGAGUGCAACUGGAUAGCAACACAGUUCUCUUACUUCUUUAUAAUCCGGGAAACUGCACCUCUUCAGGCUAGUACUAAAAGACCGAAGCGAACCCCAGAAACGGUAUAUUGCCUUUGUAGAACGCGUACAUACAGUUUCCUUCAGACGCAACACGGAAAAUAUCAUACUGAUCGUGUGAAUUAUAAAGCCAAUGUAGUUCUUUAUAGAUAAGCUGAAAGUUUGACUUUGCAUACAGCUCUCUUUUUAUAACUUGUUUAAUAAAAUAUACCCUGUUUUAAUUCAUAGCAUUAGAUAUUUUAAGCUGCCUAAUUUCAUCUCAAGCCAUACAAAAAGGCACGUCUGUAAUAACUUACAGACGCCUAUUGUGAAUGCACUCGAUCAGUUCUGUUGUAGAGGAAGCCGAUACAGGCAUGUGAAUCAGGAAACCAUUAAUGUGCUGCAAAUGCAAAUUCGGGUGUUUUAAUUUCCUUGGCACGCAACAUUUCGAAUGCAUCGCUGUAGUAAAAUUACAAUUUCAUGGAAGUCUAGCAGAAAACCGGGCACGUUUAGCACGCAUUAUACAACACUCCUUAUGAUCGAUGACGUUC